UACGGAGGGUGCAAGCGUUAUCCGGAUUCAUUGGGCUUAAAGAGCGCGUAGGCGGCGACGUAAGUUGGAAGUGAAAUCCCAUCGGCUCAACCGUGGAAUCGCUCCCAGUACUGCGUUGCUCGAGGGAGAUAGGGGCCUGUGGAACUGCCGGUGGAGCGGUGAAAUGUGUUGAUAUCGGCGGGAACGCCAGUGGCGAAAGCGACAGGCUGGACCUUUUCUGACGCUGAGGCGCGAAAGCUAGGGGAGCAAACGGG
rnacentral:rRNA from 1 species